UAAAGUACUUUCAGCAGUGAGGAAGGUGGUGUCGUUAAUAGCGGCAUCAUUUGACGUUUAGCUUGCAGAAGAAGCACCGGCUAACUCCGUGCCAGCAGCCGCGGUAAUACGGAGGGUGCGAGCGUUAAUCGGAAUUACUGGGCGUAAAGCGCAUGCAGGUGGUUUGUUAAGUCAGAUGUGAAAGCCCGGGCUCAACCUCGGAAUUGCAUUUGAAACUGGCAGACUAGAGUACUGUAGAGGGGAUAGAAUUUCAGGUGUAGCGGUGAAAAUGCGUAGAGAUCUGAAGGAAUACCGGUGGCGAAGGCGGCCCCCUGGACAGAUACUGACACUCAGAUGCGAAAGCGUGGGGACGCAAACAGGAUUAGAUACCCUGGUAG
rnacentral:rRNA from 1 species